rnacentral:rRNA from 1 species
UACGUGGGGGGUAAGCGUUGUUCGGAAUUACUGGGCGUAAAGGGCUCGUAGGCGGCCAACUAAGUCAGACGUGAAAUCCCUCAGCUUAACUGGGGAACUGCGUCUGAUACUGGAUGGCUUGGAUUUGGGAGAGGAAUGCGGAAUUCCAGGUGUAGCGGUGAAAUGCGUAGAUAUCUGGAGGAACACCGGUGGCGAAGGCGGCAUUCUGGACCAAUAUUGACGCUGAGGAGCGAAAGCCAGGGGAGCAAACGGG